rnacentral:tRNA from 1 species
AAUUAGAAAGCGAAAAUUUGCAUUUAGUUUCGGCCUAAACUUUGGUCUAAACCUCUAAUUU